AAGAGUUUAUACUUUAAAUAAUAAAAUAUUUAAUUAAGUAUACGUGCCUGCAUUCAUACUAAAAUCAGUGUCACUAGGACAGUACAAAAGAAUUACGAUUGUUGGGCAACAUAGGUAGGCUUAGAGACAUAUGGUCAAACUGGGAAGAUAUAGCCUGAUCACCUAUAUUAUAUGAGGGUUGACUAGCAUGUGCCUAAGUUUAAUUGUGUGGUUGCAACAAGUCUAAAAUCUUACCAACCCUACCACAAUGAGAACAGUAGAACAUAACAUUAAACUUAAAAUACUAUAGGAGUAUUUGGUGUUACUAUAAGUACGUUAUACUUGAGAACUAAAACGGGAUCUUCAUUACUAAGUUGAUAGUUGCUAAGUGGAUACACUAAGGCUAUAUGUAAUUAGGAUGUUAUAGACUUAGAAUCUGUGAAAAUUUUACUUCACCCCUAUUCUGUGUGAAUAUGGAGUUAAGGUCACUUAUUCGAAGGCCUAUCCUGUUUCGAUUACAUAUAACUGGUAUGCACUUCACAAAUAGCGAUGUAACUAAUGAAGAUUUUCUAAAUAAUUAUCUAGAUAGUUCGUCUAAUAAUUAUUUUCUUACUCCAAUUCUCGCGUAGAUAACAUGGCUGGACUCCAUCCCCACGGCAACCCGUACCUCCCGAAGGAGGUCAUUGUUGGAUGGUUUGAAGAUGAGCCCGAGAAUGAUCAUCCUAUCCCUUUGAAUGAUCACCAUGAUGAAGACCUUUCGGACGAUGCUAACUCCGAACCAGAGGUUGAAAACCUACCCCAGGCAGCUCCCGUUCCAAUUCCUAACCCUCGUCCGACUUUUCAUGGCCCGACGCCUGAGUGAGUGGAAUGCUUGGGAACAUGGAGCCAAGGACAAGAUCAGCCCAUGCCAUUUAAUGGUGACCGAAGCUUCUAUGACCUGAGCAAUGGGGGCUCAGAACACAAAAUCUUGCCAAUCUUGGUCCGCAGAGUGGCCCAAAAUGAGAUUCAAGGCAGGACAGCCCUACAUCAGAUUACCGAAGUUGUCGCCGAUGCGAGAAUGCAUACCCUCCGCACCAUUCGUCUAGGAGAUGCUCGCGAGAGAUCUGAGAGAAACCAUGAAACCCUGCUGCAAGCACUGGCUGAAUCGCGAUAUGAAGUCAUAGAGCUCCGAGUACGCUAGAGGGUGUACGAAAGACACCUACUUGACGUGGAACGUCAACUGGCUGAACUGAGUUCACCAGAGGGAUGACCGUCACAGUAGUAUACGCUUUACUUUAUUUUCCUUAUUAAAAGGAAUCGUUUUUCUGUCUAUGCCCGAUGUGGCAUUUUCUAUGAAAUUAUCUUGUACUGUAAGUACUUUUGGUUAGGUCUUUAUGCUGUCCAGAACUAUCUUCUAUGGAUAUGAUGUAAGACCUUUUACAAGGCCAUUUUCCCGAACAUUUACGUCAUAAAUAUCAAAGAUAUUGACAGUCGGCUAACUUCUGUGUCAUUUCCUUUAUUCAAGUACUCUCAUCAUACUUUCAUUGGAGUCUAUCUGAAACCAGCUUUAGUCAAGUCAUUGGACUAUAGUAAUUUAGCUCCGGAGACAUUUCCAAGUAUCUUUUAGUGGUUGGAUCCUGUUAUUCACCAACCCACGAUACCUCGGCUUGAACGACAAACAUCUGGAGACCAUUCUACAAACUCACUUCCUUUCCGUACUAGGACUGCAUCAUAGGGAUGUAGGUCAAACGUUUGCGAUCAUACCUUUAAUCCGUACUAGGACUGCAUCAUAGGAAUAUAGGUCAACCUUUCGAGAACAUACUCUUACUCUUUGAUUGAGCAAUCGAAGUACAUCUAGGGUCAGCCAGAAUCGCUCACAAAAUCCUUAUCUUUCGUGCUAUAGAAUCAUGUCGUCAUCCGGAAGCAAUCAGUCGAACAACGAAACCUCUACCUUUCCUAUGGACGCCGCUAUCUUUCAAACCGCAGUUACAACUGCCAUGAUGGCUGCCAUGAUAGCUGUCCUUGCGCACCGUAGCGCUAUCAGCACAAUCAAUGCCGAUGAUGGGAUUGAAGUUUCCAAUCGUGGUAUCCAUCCAGGAAGUCGCCAAACAGUAACAGUCACAGGCUCCCAAAGCUGAAAGACAGAGAACAAGAAACGAAAGCGUCAAGCCCAGAAAGAAUGCAAGAAAUCCCAAAAACUUGCCAUGCAACAGCAACAAGUGGAAACCCCUGCCAUCCCCGUACCGACCAGGCCAUAUGAGGGAAAACUCUCGAAGUGUGAUAAGUGUAAUUUCCAUCAUCAUGGGGCUUGCCAUGAGAUGCAAUGUUGCAAUUGCCUAAAAAUAGGGCACCAUGUUCAUAGCUAUGGAGCACCGACACGACCCAUCACUCAAGCCCCUUUCAUCGGAAGGGAUCAGAGUGGACUUGGGAACUGGUGGAAGAAAUGAUAGAGCACUACCCCGAGCUAUUUCAGGAUCGAGCAAUAGACUUCGAGGACGAAGUCUAAAAUAAGUGGGGGAGAUUUGUAGCUCCUGGUUCCCGGUACGUACUUCUUGUAAUUUUAAAUUCUUAAUUUAUGCAUUUUGCCUUGGACUCGGCGAGUUGAAGAACCAACUCGCCGAGUAGGAGCGAGAUGGGACACGUGGUCCGAGCCGUGGACUCGGCGAGUAGGCCCUGUUUGGGCAAAAACCCUAACUCGAGCAUUGUCACCCUAUUUAAGCACAUUAACUCGGCCCCUUGUCCUUAACACUUCCAGAGAGUUGUAAUGAGAGUCCCUAGUCCCCCAUUUUGUGCUUGUGAGUGUGUCCUUUCUUAGUGAAGGGAAUUGGAGCUUAGAAGAAGAAGAGAAGAGUUUGAGGAGUGCAAGACAGGGAGUAGAUCUAAAAUCUACUUUGGGAGAAGCUUUCAUUCAGGUAGUAAAGUCUCUACCUUGAUCUAUAGUUCUUUAGAUCCCAUUUUGUCCCAAUUUGGUGGUUUGCAAGCCCUAAAACACCAAACUCCAUGUGUUUGUGCUUAAUAAUCUGAAAGGACUUCAGAUCUAGACUUUAUGGACGUGUUAGAAGCAUAAAGUUGUUGUGGUUGAAGUGAUUAAGGACCCCAUUGAGUGCAUGACCUCUUAAAGAGCUUAGAAUUCCAUUUUUGAGCUUAUAGGGCCAUGUAUGCACAUAAAGUUUGCAACGUUACGUGUUAAGCAUGCCCUAGGAUCAUAGAUCUGUGGUUUUGAAGAGUUGCAUGUCUCAGAUUUGGCUCAUAUGGGAAAUGGGUCAAGGGACUCGGCGAGUUGGAUGAACAACUCGGCGAGUCCUAUGAAGAUUGUCUGGUACUCGACGAGUUGUUCUUCAAACUCGGCGAGUUGCAUGAACUGUUAUUGUGUACGAAGGGUUUAAGUCCUAGAAGUCCAACCCUUCUUGUUUUCACGAAGGAUUAGCAAUCUAACGUGUUCCGUUAGUCCCAGAAACCCCAGAUUCUCAUAAGGAUGUUCGGAUAAGGAUCUGGAAGCGAGUGGGGAGUCUGGUCGCAUGGACUCGGCGAGUUGUUCAUGGACUUGGCAAGUUUUUCAUGGACUCGGCAAGUUGUUCAUGGACUCGGCGAGUCGGGUCAACUGGCAGUUGACUUUGACUUUGACUCUUGGUUUGGAUAAGGGGUAAAUGGUCGUUUACCCUGAGGUCGGUUAGCAGUAUUUGACUAAGUGUUUUGUGGGAAUUAUAGCCAGAGGAUUUCCGGAGAAGCAGCAGCAGAAGACAGUCAGUUCCCACACCGAUCAGCCGCUACUUUGAGGUGAGUUACCUUCCAGUAGCGGUGGGUCUACGGCCACAAUGCCGGCCCACCAGUAGGAGUUGUAUGAUAGAUGAUUGUCUCCAUGAUAUUCAUCUAAGGUUGCUACUACCUGUGAUAUGUUUUUGUGCUAGUAUGAUAUGCUGCUAUGUGCUGGUGACAGUAGGGGGAGAUAGUCCCCAGAUUACUGGUUGAUAGGGCCGAAGGGGCGGUCGAGGCCAGCCAUGCUAGAUAGAUUAUGUGAUAUGUGUUAUGUGGUAGUAGUAGGGGGUGAAAUAGUCCCCAGAUUCCGUUCGAGAGGACUGAACGGGAGACCAGCACCUAGAUAUGCUAGUCAGUAUCCGGUCGAUGGGACCAAAGGGGAGGCAAGCUCUCAGAUAUACUGGUCAGUAUCCGGUCGAGAGGACUGAAGGGGAGGACAGCUCCCAGAUGUACUAGACAGUAUCCGAUCGAGAGGACCGAAGGGGUAGGUCGGGCACCCAGAUAUGCCUGACAAUAUAUGUACGAUAUGUGAUUGUAUGGUAUGUGGUAUGUUGGGGGAACUCACUAAGCUUUGUGAUUACAGUUUUCAGUUUGGUUUCAGGUACCUCUUCUUCGAAGGGGAAGGAGCUGGCGCGGUAGCCGUACAUCAUACACAUGCUUGUAUUCCGCAUCAUUAGAUCUUCCUGGGGAUUUGUACUCUGACACUUUUAUGUUUUAUAAAAAUGUUUUCCCAGACAUGCUCUGUCUUUUGUGAAAUGAUAUGAUCGUUCAACAUUUUAUUCCUAAUGUUUUGCUAAGUACAUGUUUUAAAAAUGAAAUUUUUGGCUCGUAUUUUUGGGACGUUACAAGUUGGUAUCAGAGCCUUGGUUUGAGGGAUUCGGACACACCUUCGGAGGUGUUUGAACUCAAAUCGAGGGAUUAAAAGAUUUUGGAAAAAGAAAAUGUUUCUAAAAAGCUAAGUAAAGGGUUUUAAGAAAGAACAAAGUGUGUGAUGUGCGCGACCGGCCAAGCUCAAGUAAGUAUUCCCCAAGGUACCCAUACAAGCUUAUGUUAUGCUUAUCAGUUUCAGUAGAACAACAUGCUAGAAUAGGACUACGGAUCUAGGAGUGAUGCAUUAUGUGGCUACUUUAUGUGCUUCAAUGUAUGAAAAGUUGCACGCUAGAAUUGAGUAGACAGCAGUAGGAUAGCCUGUUUAGGUUAUGCCUGAUAGUACGAGUUUAUCAUUGUAUGCUAGUUCAGUUUUCUCUACGAGGAUAGAGUUGCUUAAGAUUGUUUCCUUUUGUCCAAAUGUUGUUUGCUCUGUGCUAUGUGGGCUUUGAGUGAUGGGAGUUAGCUGUUAGGUGAAUACGUUAAAGUCACAUGUGAUCAGGGUUGAAUAAUCUCAGAGUGUUGGAUUUGACCCUAUUACGUAGCUCUUGUUUGAGUCCUAUCCGUUGUAGGGAUGAGUCCCUUACUCGAAGGAUUAUCCGAGCCUCGUCGCAUGUGAUUGUAUUCAGGAAAUAGCUAAUUGGCAUCUCAAAGAGACCUUCAGCGGCUGAGGACUGGGUUGGGUGGAGUUAGAGGUUUCCUAGGUUAAGCCUAGGAUAAGAGUAGUAGUGAACAGCGGUAGUGAAAGGGACCUGGUGGAGUCAAGGCAGUCCUUGGAGAAGGUACGGAUAGAUGUGGAAGGUAGUAUGGGCCCAUACUACUGAAAGUAGAGGAUCCGUACCCGAACCAAGGAAGGCCAAGAUAAGACCAAGGAACUUGUAGUAGGUGUGAUCCCUCCAGAGGUAUCAGUAUCGCUAACAGUCGUUAUUUCUUUUGUAUUUGAGAAUGGUAGUACUACGCUCGAGGCCAGCAGUGGGCAGUACAGGAGAGGGAUCGGGUUAUGGAUCAGGUUCCGAGCCAGUAGAUGAGGGACUACGCGAGUUCAUCGCGUCAGAGAUCACCAGAGGCAUCCUUGAGUCGACCCCCAUUAUCUUCGGGUUGUUCAAGGAAGGGAUAUUGGAGAUGAUGGAGGAUCGCCUCAGGGCAUUCAGGAGCGACAUGGCAUCUGACCAGUCAGGGUAUCACACACUGUCCUUCAAGUACUUUCGGGGCAGUGGUGCACCGGAUUUUCAUGGGGCAAAGGACCCCAUAGCUGCCAGACGAUGGAUUGCAGAUAUUGAGUCUGCACAGUUGACUAGCUACUGCCCUGAGGGGUUGAAGGUGAGAUAUGUAGCAGGAUGUUUGAGAGAUCGAGCUAGGGAUUGGUGGGAGUCCAAUGGUGACUCAUUGGGAGCCUCGACUGUCGAGGCUAUGACCUGGUCGGACUUCGUGACCAGGUUCAGGGCUGAGUUUGCACUGGCUGUCGAGCUUCAGCAGCUGGCCAGGGAGUUCCUAGAUAUGAGGCAGACGACGGAGACUGUAGCGGAGAUCACCACAAAGUUCCGGGAGAGGGCGUUGCUGGUGCCCCAGUACGCAGGUGACGAGGAUAUGAGGAGGACCCGCUAUCAUGACAUGCUACGAGCUAAUAUUCGGGAGCAUGUCAGUUUUUUCAGCUUGCCCUACCCUGGACUCUAUGAUUUACAGGGCAAGGGAGAGAGAGAUAGAUCUGGAGCACAUCCGGAAGAGGAAGUCAGAGGAGGGGCAUGUUAUGGGGGCUUCGGGGAAGAAGCCCAAGGGAUCAGAUGCGAGGCCGAAAGGCCAACAGGGGCGGGGCCACUGCAGGAAAUGCGGCAAGAUGCACGAGGGAGCGUGCAAGUUGGGAUCGUCAGGCUGCUACAAGUGCGGCAUGUUAGGGCACUUCAGCAGGGAUUGUACCGCCCCUGCACCUAUGAUUCAGACAUCGGAGUUGAUGCGUUUUCACUGCAACCAAAGGGGCCACAAGAAGGCCAAUUGCCCCCAGUUGACAGCAUCAGCGCCGGUUAAGGCGCCGGCUCCAGCUACCCUGUGGAUUACAGAUGGCUGGCAGGGCAAGGCAGAGGCUCUAGUAGUGAGGAGCCGGGCGUUUCAGCUGACGGCAGAGGAGGCACACGCCGCACCUGAUGUGGUGACGGGAUCGUUCCAUGUGAACGGUAUUCCUAUCCAGGUGUUGUUUGACUCGAGUGCCGCCCGAUCAUUUGUUUCCCUUGCGCUUAGCAAGAGGUUUACUGAGUCUUCAGGCAUGUUGGAUUGCCCUUUAGAGGUAGAGAUCGCCGAUGAUCAAUCGGUGCGAGCUUCAGUAGUAUUCAGGGAUUGUAUCCUAAGGAUAUUUUAGGAGCGCUAUUUGGUGGAUUUGGUUCCCAUCCCUUUGCGGGGGAACAAGGUGAUUAUAGGCAUGGAUUGGUUGAGCCCUAAUGGGGCGGUGAUAGAUUGUGCGCAACAGCUAGUGCGGGUCAGGACCCCAAGUGGAGGAGAGUUGGUGAUCCACGGCGAGAGGCCACAGCGUCGACCUAUAGUAUGUCCAGCAGCGAGAGCUAGGCGCUACCUUCAUCAGGGUUGCGCGGGAUAUGUCGCGUAUGUUAUGGAUACCGGGGAGACGGGUAAGGAGACAGUGAGCGAGGUUCCAGUGGUUCGAGACUAUGCUGAUGUGUUCCCGGAGGAGCUUCCUGGAAUACCUCCGGAGCGUCAGGUGGAGUUCAGGAUCGACCUAGUUCCUGGUGCGGCUCCAAUAGCCAAGGCACCCUAUCGGUUGGCUACUCCCGAGAUGCAGGAGUUGUCUACGCAGCUGCAGGAGCUGCUAGACAAGGGAUUUAUUCGACCGAGCAGUUCACCCUNNNNNNNNNNNNNNNNNNNNNNNNNNNNNNNNNNNNNNNNNNNNNNNNNNNNNNNNNNNNNNNNNNNNNNNNNNNNNNNNNNNNNNNNNNNNNNNNNNNNNNNNNNNNNNNNNNNNNNNNNNNNNNNNNNNNNNNNNNNNNNNNNNNNNNNNNNNNNNNNNNNNNNNNNNNNNNNNNNNNNNNNNNNNNNNNNNNNNNNNNNNNNNNNNNNNNNNNNNNNNNNNNNNNNNNNNNNNNNNNNNNNNNNNNNNNNNNNNNNNNNNNNNNNNNNNNNNNNNNNNNNNNNNNNNNNNNNNNNNNNNNNNNNNNNNNNNNNNNNNNNNNNNNNNNNNNNNNNNNNNNNNNNNNNNNNNNNNNNNNNNNNNNNNNNNNNNNNNNNNNNNNNNNNNNNNNNNNNNNNNNNNNNNNNNNNNUGAGGAGGGAGAGCUUGUACGCCAAGUUCUCCAAAUGUGAGUUUUGGUUGCGCGAGGUGCAGUUUCUUGGGCACCUCAUCAACCAGAACGGGAUUUCAGUAGACCCGGCCAAGGUGGAGGCCGUGAUGAGAUGGGAGGUUCUGAAGUCUCCAUCCGAGAUUCGGAGUUUCCUAGGAUUGGAAGGCUACUAUCAGAGAUUCAUUCAGGAUUUCUCCAAGAUAGUCGUACCCCUGACGCGGUUGACUAGGAAAGUCGUGGUCUUUCGAUGGGGGCCUGAGCAGCAGGCAGCGUUCGAGAUUCUGAGGCAGAGAUUGUGCGAGGCGCCGAUCUUAGCCCUGCCCGAGGGCGUAGAGGAUUUUGUGGUAUACUGUGAUGCGUCGAUCUCAGGCUUAGGUGCAAUAUUGAUGCCGAGGGGGUAUGUCAUUGCUUAUGCCUCGAGGCAGCUGAAGCCUCAAGAGGCGAACUACCCGACGCAUGAUUUAGAGUUGGGGGCGGUGGUUUUUGCCCUCAAGAUUUGGCGGCAUUACCUCUACAGGGUUCGAUGUACCAUUUACACAGACCACAAGAGUUUGAGGUACCUUAUGGAUCAGCCGGAUCUGAACAUAAAGCAGCGUCGGUGGUUGGACGUGGUGAAGGAUUAUGAUUGCGAGAUCAUUUAUCACCUGGGGAAGGCCAAUGUGGUGGCUGAUGCGCUUAGCCGCAAGGCGGCACCGAUCAGAGAUAUGUGUAUGAGGAUGACGGUGGUGACUCCACUGUUUACAGCGGAUUCGGGAAGCUCAGCAGGAGGCUCUGAAGGAGGAACAUCAGAAGAGUGAGAAAAUAGUGGGUCAAGUCACCUCCUUCGAUUAUGAUAGCCGAGGGUUAUUGACACUACACCGUAGGGUGUGGGUGCCGUAUCACGGGGGCGUGCGCCAGAUCUUGAUGGAGGAGGCGCACAAAUCCCGAUUCUCUAUUCAUCCAGGGGCGACGAAAAUGUAUAGGGAUCUUCGUCUAGACUAUUGGUGGCCCUGGAUGAGGCGGGAUGUGGCGUGGUACGUCGAGUAGUGUUUGACCUGCAGAAAGGUCAAGGCCGAGAAUCAGUGACCACAUGGCAAGAUGCAGCCGUUGAAUAUCCCGUAGUGGAAAUGGGAGGAUAUUACGAUGGAUUUUAUCACAAAGCUUCCCCGGACGGCGUGAGGAGUAGAUUCGAGUUGGGUCAUCGUGGAUCAAUUGACCAAGAGCACCCAUUUUAUUCCAAUUCAGGAAAGUAUAUCGGCCGAAAAGUUGGCCGAUAUCUACAUCAGAGAGAUAGUGUGCGGCACUGGGUGCCAGUGUCAGUGAUAUCAGAUCGAGAUGUGCGGUUCACUUCCAGGUUUUAGAAGAAGUUUCAUGAUGAGUUGGGCACUCUUCUGCACUUUAGCACCGCCUUUAACCCGCAGACGGAUGGUCAGAGUGAGCGGACCAUCCAGACAUUGGAGGAUAUGUUGCGGGCAUGCGUGCUAGAAUUCGGUGGUAGCUGGGAUACCUAUCUUCCCUUGUCUGAGUUCUCGUACAACAACAGCUACCAUGCGAGUAUUGACCGUCCUCCCUUCGAGAUGUUGUAUGGUCGGAGGUGCAGGACCCCGACAUCUUAGGGUGAAGUUGGCCAGAGGGUCAUGGGGAGCACCGAGGUGGUGCUCAAGACGACCGAGAGAAUCCAGCACGUUCGAAGCAGGCUUUAGACUACGCAGAGUCGGCAGAAAAGUUAUGCCGACAAGCGUCGAUCAGACCGGGAGUUCCAGGUCAGGGAUAUGGUUCUCCUGAAAGUGUCGCCUUGGAAAGGCGUCAUUCGAUUUAGGAAGCGGGGCAAGUUGGGCUCGAGAUACAUUGGUCCGUUCAGAGUUGUAACCCGGGUGGGCAAGGUGGCAUAUAGGCUUGAUCUGCCAGCCGAGCUCAGACAGAUCCACAGCACCUUCCAUGUCUCCCAGCUGCGGAAGUGCCUAGUGGAUGACUCAGCGGUGGUGCCUCUAGAAGAUAUACAGGUUGAUGACAGCCUGAAUUACAUUGAGCGCCCAGUCGCAAUCCUCGGCCGGAAGUCGAAGGAUCUUAGGAACAAGAGGGUGGAACUCGUAAAGGUGCAAUGGCAACAUCGAAAGGGAUCAGAGUGAACUUGGGAACCGGUUGAAGAAAUGAUGGAGCACUACCCCGAGCUAUUUCAAGAUCGAGCAGUAGACUUCGACGACGAAGUCUAAAUUAAGUGGGGGAGAUUUUUAGCACCUGGUUCCCAGUACGUUUUCUUGUAAUUUUAAAUUCUUAAUUCUUGCAUUUUGCCUUGGACCUAGCGAGUUGAAGGACCAACUCGCCGAGUAGGAGCGAGAUGGGAUCUAUAGUUCUUUAGAUCCCAUUUUGUCCCAGUUUGGUGGUUUGCAAGCCCUAAAACACCAAACUCCAUGUGUUUGUGCUUAAUAAUCCGAAAGGACUUCAGAUCUAGACUUUAUGGACAUGUUAGAAGCAUAAAGUUGUUGUGGUUGAAGUGAUUAAGGACCCCAUUGAGUGCAUGACCUCUUAAAGAGCUUAGAAUUCCAUUUUUGAGCUUAUAGGGCCAUGCAUGCACGUAAAGUUUGCAACUUUACGUGUUAAGCAUGCCCUAGGAUCAUAGAUCUGUGGUUUUGAAGAGUUGCAUGUCUCAGAUUUGGCUCAUAUGGGAAAUGGGUCAAGUGACUCAGCGAGUCCCAAGGUGGAACUCGGCGAGUUCUAUGAAUACGGCCUUAGACUCGGCGAGUUGGAUGAACAACUCGGUGAGUCCUAUGAAGAUUGCCUGGUACUUGACGAGUUGUUCUUCAAACUCGGCGAGUUGCAUGAACUGUUAUUGUGUACGAAGGGUUUAAGUGCUAGAAGUCCAACCCUUCGUGUUUUCAUGAAGGAUUAGCAAUCUAACGUGUUCCGUUAGUCCCAGAAACCCCAAAUUCUCAUAAGGAUGUUCGGAUAAGGAUCUGGAAGCGAGUGGGGAGUCUACUCGCAUGGACUCAGCGAGUUGUUCAUGGACUCGGCGAGUCGGGUCAACUGGCAGUUGACUUUGACUUUGACUCUUGGUUUGGAUAAGGGGUAAAUGGUCGUUUACCCUGAGGUCGGUUAGCAGUAUUUGACUAAGUGUUUUGUGGGAAUUAUAGCCGGAGGAUUUUCGGAGCAGCAGCCGCAGAAGACAGUCAGUUCCCACACCGAUCAUCCGCUACUUUGAGGUGAGUUACCUUCUAGUAGCGGUGGGUCUACGGCCACAAUGCCAGCCCACCAGUAGGAGUUGUAUGAUAGAUGAUUGUCUCCGUGAUAUUCAUUUAAGGGUGCUACUACCUGUGAUAUGUUUAUGUGCUAAUAUGAUAUGUUGCUAUGUGCUGGUGACAGUAGGGGGAGAUAGUCCCCAGAUUACCGGUCGAUAGGGUCGAAGGGGCGGUCGUGCCCAGCCAUGCUAGAUAGAUUAUGUGAUAUGUGUUAUGUGGUAGUAGUAGGGGGUGAAAUAGUCCCCAGAUUCUGGUCGAGAGGACCGAAGGGGAGACCAGCACCCAGAUAUGUUAGUCAGUAUCCGGUCGAGAGGAUCGAAUGGGAGGCAAGCUCCCAGAUAUACUGGUCAGUAUUCAGUCGAGAGGAUCGAAGGGGAGGACAACUCCCAGAUGUACUAGACAGUAUCCGGUCGAGAGGACCGAAGGGGUAGGUCGGGCACCGAUAUAUGCCUGACAAUAUAUGUACGAUGUGUGAUUGUAUGGUAUGUGGUAUGUUGGGGGAACUCACUAAGCUUCGUGCUUACAUUUUUUAGUUUUCGUUUCAGGUACCUCUUUUUUGAAGGGGAAGGAGCUUGCGCGGUAGCGGUACAUCACACACAUGCUUGUAUUCCGCAUCAUGAGAUCUUCCUGGGGAGUUGUACUCUGACACUUUUAUGUUUUAUCAAAAUGUUUUCCCAAACAUGCUCUAUCUUUUGUGAAAUGAUAUGAUCGUUCAACAUUUUAUUCCUAAUGUUUUGCUAAGUACAUGUUUUAAAAAUGAAAUUUUUUGCUCGUAUUUUUGGGACGUUACGGUUCUACAGGUUUAGAAUUGAUGAUUCCACUUUAACUUCUUUUUCCUCGAAGGGAUGUGAGCUUAAAGAAGAAUCAGCUAUUCGGCUACCUUUUCAAUCUUAAUUAUAUACGACUCGUAUACACGAGAUUGUGAUUGUGAAACCAUGUAUGAAUUCUAAUAUGAACUUCAGGACGAAGAACUGCCCAAGACUACGAGUAAUCGCAUCGUCAUGUGAACAAACUUAGAUCCCAGUACGACUUCUGUAAACAGAUCGCCCUCCAGUCUAAAACAUCUAUGGAGAUACAAGAACAGUAUCAUGCAACUUAGCGAACCACACAAAAAUAGAAUUGGAAGACUAGGCUUCUCACCCUAGAGAGCUCCGGUCUUAUUCUUCCAGAGAUCGACGAAUUGCAUCAUAUGUGCCCCGGCUAUCGAGGACUCCGUCAACAUUUUCCAGUAGAAAUCGUUAUCUCUACCUCGCAUAGAUGAGCUGGUUGAGCAAACACAAGUAAAACAUUACUUUCAGAAAUGGAUCUGAGAUCCGAAUAUCACCAGCUCGAGUGUUAGGGAAGGAUGUCGGGAAGACUACCUUCCGAACUCGAUGCGGACACUUCGAGUCCGUAGUGAUACCCCUCGGAUAGGACCAAUACGCCCGAAGCAUUCAUGAGCUUAAUGAAUAGUGUCCGUCUUUCUUACUUGGAUCAGUUCGUUAUUUCUCCAUGUGAUGACUUACUUAUCUACCCUCGUAGUAAGAAGGAACCCGUGGAAACAUUACCCUCGGAGAUACUUUUCGCAAAGUUCUCUGAACACGAGUUUUGGAAUUGAAGAGUCAAAAUUUCCUAAGACACACUAUUAGUGAUGUGGAAAUUCUUGAGUACUCUGGCAAUUUAUCCGAAACUGUUGGGAAUUGGUCGGCACCAAAGACGCCGACAUACAUUCGCCAAAUUCUAGGUCUUACAGACCUACUGUCAUAGUUCGUCCAUAACUCCUCGCAAAUCAUAGAAACCCGUACGACUUUUACCCGGCAAGGGGUGGCCCUUGACUGGGAAGUUUAGCAAGAGAAAGAACCUUCGGAAUUCCAAGUGAGAGACCAAAUUCUUUAGGAAAUCUCACUCUGGGAAUGGCUUAAUACGCUUCGUAAAGCGUGGAAAGCUAAAUCCAAGUUAUAUAGGACCUCUGAGAUUCUUACCAGAAUCGGUCCUGUACCUCGCACAAACUAGACCUGGUCCGCGAACUCAGUAACGUACAUUUACUCUUCGCAUCUUAAUCGUGAAACCAUACCUUUCCAUUAGAACUUUAGUAAGUCCACUCGUCGAGAUCCUAGCCUUCGUAUUAGAACCGUAGUGACCCUCGGCCGAGAGGUCAAGCGGAUGAAGCAACGCCGUCGCCCAUUAUUGAAGGUUCGUUAGGAUACCAACCAAGAACCCAAUUUCACCUAGGAGCGUUGGAACCAAUCGAUUAGGAAGUUUCCUCCUCAUGACUCGAUCAUUCAUACCUUUCUCGGGCUUUUGGCUAAGAUCAAGUAUACCGACUUCCUUACCUAAAUUCUAAUUUCGGGACGAAAUUCCCUUUAACAGGGGGAUGAUGUGACAACCCGAAAUUUCCAUUCUGAACAAACCAUAUCAAGCCAAUAGAAGUUAGAAUAGUUACAGUUAAAUUCCAAAGUUUGAGUAUAAGUUUCAGUUUUUUAGGAUUUACACUUAAGGAGAUAUCAGGAGAGUGGAUGCACCAGGGUUUUGUGCAACACUGUUAAUCCAAAACUCUAGGAUAUUAGGGUUCAAUUCCGGAAUAAAAAUAUUUUCUGCCANAAAAAUUUUUUGCCAAAAAUCCCAAGCCUAUAUAUAGAAAUCUGAGCCAUAUUCAUUCAUUAGUUACAUUUCCAACUAGAGAAAAGUCAAAUUCUCUCUCACGGAUCUUCGGGUUUUUAUCCCAAAUUGUGAGUACUUCUAUCUAGUUGUAUUAUACAGCUUAGAUUGUGUUUAAUAACAUCAAAAACAUGUCAAAACACUAAGAUUUGUGAGUUUACCGCCCAAGAACACCUUGGGGAGUAAACUCCUUUUGAAGGGCCAAAAGAGUGCCCAAUGUCCCUCAAAGCCUUGGAACUCAACCUAGGAACUACCAUUACAUGUUUUAGACCACAAAACAAUUAAGAAUCAAGGCUAGAAGUGAGUUCACGGCCAAGGAAGUUCUUGGGCCGUGAACUCCAUUUUUAGGUUCCAAAACACCCUAAAAACCUUCCUUAAGCCAAGAGACUAAUUUAGACAAGUACCCUAAUGUGUUUAGGGCUAGAAAACACCUUUAGAACACCAAGAAAAAGGUGUUCACGAUCCAAGAAGUUCCACGGCCGUGAACUCCAAGAAAUAGUGCCAAAUGGUGUUAUAAACUCUCCUAAAGCCUUGGACAAUUUCCUUGCUUCAUUCUUAGAUAAAUUAGGGACUUGAAAACACCACAAACACCCUCCCAAGGGAGAUUACGGCUGUAAUCUCCAUGGGAUAUGGUCCAUGGGCCGUGAACUCCUCAAAGGAGUUAAAAGGAAGCCCAAACACUUGUUUAAGCCUUGAAGCACUUCACCACUUAAGUUGUAAUAAUGUUAGGCUUCAUUUAGAGACCCUAUAGAGAGUUUACGGUCAGGAACUCCAACACAUAUGGUCUUUUGACCAUAAACUCCCAUAAGAGGUCUUGCACUCCUUUGUUGCAACCCAUUAGCCUCCUAGCACUUGACCAAAAGUGUUUUCCUCGCAUUAGCAUGUUUGUACAUGUUUAAUUAGUGUUAUAAUCACUAAUUGUUUAUAUACAUAUGUCUUCAUAUGUAAUUAGGACCAUUGUGUGUGUCUGAAGUCUUCACUUGACACCUAGCAGUCCUACCUCUUCAGUUCAUCCGUAUCACCCACAACAGGUGAGUUCAUACCCCUUAAUCAAUGUUUUAACUGUUUUUAAAUGUUUUAUGGGGGGGGGGGACNGUAUCACCCACAACAGGUGAGUUCAUACCCCUUAAUCAACGUUUUAUCUCUUUUUAAAUGUUUUAUGGGGGGAUACAAGUAGAAUUAUGCUAAUUAUUAUAUCAAUCACAUGUGAUUAAUAAGCAGCAUUCAAAUGAUUGGCUACUCAUUAGCCGUUUUACCAAACAGUUUCCUUCAAAUGUUUUUCAUAAACACUUUAUGUGUUUAAAACUCCUUAUUACACUGUACCUUUUACUCUGUAUGUUUCAUUUCAAACUUAUUUACAAUUGUGUUUCAAACAAAUGUUUCUUUAUACUAAACUGUUUUAUCAAACCCAUGCCUUCAAACCGUUUUAUAGAUUGACAUCAAGUCGAUCUUUUCUUAGAUAAUAAUUAUGUUCAAAGGUUUUACAAAACUUAUUUUAUGCUUUUAUAUUAUAAAUUGCAUGCCUAUAUAUCUAUGGUUAUAUAAGAAAUGUUGAAAGGACUUAGGAAGGCUAUCCACCCUAUUUCCUUUUCCUCGAUUUGGAUGUGGUCUGGUGGGAUAUCGAGUACCUGUCCGAAGGUCAUUUAAAUAUUAGUUAUAUAUCAUGUGUACAUAUAUAGUCAUAAAGGUCCUUCCAGUUCAGCUAAUGCCCUUGGGUACCAAGGGUAUACAUCCAUGUUCAUACAUACCAGUUAAAUUACUAGUAAGCUACCAUAUGCGUAGCUUAGGAAGAUACUAGAACUAUUACUAGAAUGCGAUAUCAUACAAUGAGUCAAUUAAUUCAUGAGUGAAUACUUUCUAGAACAUUAUUGUAUUUGCUAGAUAAGAGAGCAUACAUUACAGCUAGAACAUUACAGUACAUUACUAUACUUGCUAGAUAGAGAGAGAGAACACACAUUACAGCUAGCACACGUAGAAUAUUUCAGUACAUUACAUAUACAUAAAUACGUUGACAUAAUUGUGAUCCACUGUAUCGGAGCAUGCCUUCAAUGUCAUGGCCCGAGUUGUAGCCAGAGUCUCUUGGAGGGAGAGCGUGAUUUUGCGUAUGGAUCUAUACUGGAUUGACUAUGCUACACCUUGCUGCUAGCUACAGCCGGACCUGCAGGUCUGCGGGUGCCAAACGUCAUUUAUUUUUACGACCAUACGUUUGUUGUUGUUACCUGUCGAUAGUAUGGUACAAUUAAUCACAUGAUGCCUUAAUAUAAAUCCGGUUUAAGGUAGUUAGUACAACAGUAGUUCUUAUAGCACUACACUACAGUACUACAUUAAUUUUCCCUUUACAUAUAUUUAGUGAUCUUUUCACUUAAACAUUAAAUGUAAAAACUAUAUUUUGUUAAUGAUAGUUACACUUGGAAAAUUACACACUUCUACAAGAAACGAACAUUCAGAGCAGUUAGGUCUUGGUAGAAGACUACAUAUAGAUCAGUUAAGUCUUGGUAGAAGACUCCCUGUUAUAAUAGUAGGAAUCAUAGGGAUUUCUAUAGUUUUUCAAACUUUUACAGUUGUUUUACAUACAUUUUCAAUACUUACGAUUUAUAUACAUUUUCAAUACUUACGUUUUACAUACAUUUUCAAUACUUACAAAUUCUUUCAUACAAAUUAAGACACUAAAAUACUUAUGAUCUCACCAGCUUCAAAGCUGAUAGUAGCUUUCAAAAUUACUUGUAUCUUUAGGUCAUCAUAGACAGAUACCGAUGCAAGGUUUAGAGAAGACGGAGCUCGUUCAAAACUCAUCUUUCAUUUUGAUUUAUGCUUUAGUGUUUAUCAAAAUUUGACAGAACACACUUGUAUAAUAAUUAUAUUAUUAAUACAAUGGAUGAUGUUGUUCCUUGUUUACUACUUUUCAUUGUUGUGAUACUGUACAUGACGUCCUCCGCCCCAGAACGUUUCUGCCGUUCUUGGUUUUGGGGUGUGACAUGAUUUCAUAUAACUGGUAUACACUACAUAAGUAUUGAUAUAAACUGAUAUAGAUCACCUAAUAAUUAUCUAGAUAGUUCGUCCAAUAAUUAUCUUCUUACUCCUAUUCUCGCACGUUCAACAUAGCAAUAUCCUACUUCCCGGACGACCCCUACUUUCCCAAUCAGAGAAAUGGUGGAUGGUUAUGAGGAGAAUCAGAAGUAAAACUAGAGGUAAUCAAUCCUCCAUGCAUAGCAAGGGUUCCCGCGAACCAUUUCGACUACAUCGAACCUGUGCCCCGUUGGGCAACCGUGAUCGACGGUUGAAUGUCGACAGCAAUGACAGCAACCACCAUGUGGGGACCAACGAGGGUGCUACGACCUCAACCUUGGGGGAUCCACUGACAGAGCCCUCCCAGUGAAGAUCGAGCCGGCAGAUCAUGAACAUUGGGGAUUAAAACAGGAAGACUACAACCCGAGUUCAGAAAAUUGCGCACUACUACAGACCCUACCGUCUCACGUACCCGAAACUCGGAAAGAGACUACUAUUUCAGAGGCCAACUCUCUCCUUAGGACCUUAUCGCCACUCGGGCAGAAGUAAAAGAGCAACAGGGUAGACACACGACAUUCAAGGAGGGGAUGAUUGCAGCCAAGCAUCGAAUUGCAAAGCUGCAAGGUGCAUCAAUUUUGCCUCGGGCAUCAGAAGGGACGGAUCGUCGUAAGUGAAUCCAUACCGCUCACGAGACCUUGUAAAUUAAGAUCAUGAGUACACGUUGGUGCUACUCUAUUCUAGUUGUAAACACGACACUUUGAUUUAAGGGGUUAUACUAACCGAGAGAUCUAGUUGCUAUCAGAACUUUUCCUGGAAUGAAGGUGAGACAGACGUGCAUCGAAGUCAGAAUUUUCGAUGAAACCAUAAUUACUAGAAUCAUAUUAAAAAGAUGGCCUUAGGACAUACCUAACAGACUCGAAGGUCUAUUUAGUCUUUAUUAUAUAACUAAGCACACAUCAAUUGGUCACUAUAAGGACCUAGCUUGAGUCAAAUUACAAGGUUUCACUUGGGCACAGAACUACUAAAAUACAUGAGUUUUCAUACAUAGGCUCUAGUUAUGAAAUGUUUUCAGAACACCAUAAAGCAACCGAAAUACGUUACAAAAUGAACUAAGAUAAACUUAGUUAGAAAACUCGCGACACAUAGCCCUUUUUAACGACUCAUUAUCGUUUCACCUUUAAACAUUUUGGUGAAAGGGUGCCUUCUUCGUAGACCUAUAGGGUGCGACCACACCAACACUAAUGCACCGGAUCCCAUCAAAACUCCUCAGCUAAGUGUGUUUGGACAAACAUGAUCCUAAGUUGAGUAAAUUUUAACGCCCGUACAAAACCUACUAAACUCAUGAAAUUCAUUCAUAUGGACAUCCCUUAUGAAUUACAUGUUGGGUUUUGAGCAUUCUAACACUCCUAAGUGUACAUGCAACCCUAAAUACCUUGGAUCUACGUUUUCUCUAUUAUACAUGCAAAUAUAAACAUCCAAGGUAUUAUCCUAAUCUAGCAUACAAAACAAUGAAUAUAACAAGAUAGAAUACAUACCUCUUUCAUGUAGAAAGUCUUCAUGAAGCUUGAGUGCCAAGUGCCUCAAGUGUGACACCUCAAAUGUUUCACACAACACCAAAUACACUUGGAAUAACUUUAGAGAAUUCUAAACUUCAUGGAAAUCGGCUAGCCCUUCUAUUACACUCUAGUGGCCGAUUUUGGUGAAUAAUAUGAUGCUUAUAUAGUUAGGGUUACACCAUGUAAUCCCUAAUUGACAUGGCCUUUCAUUUCCAUGAUCCAUGGGUACAAAAACACCAUGGAGCAUCCAUGAAGCAUCAUAUGGGUUUUAGCCCAACUAGAUAAUCCAUGGAGCAUUAGCCCACUAUAUAAGUAUGGAUGAUUUACACAAUCAACCCAUAUAUUUAAUUAGUCUUCUUUUGAUCACUUAAUUAAUCCUAGAUUAAUUCUUGAUCAAUACUAAUUAAAUAAUCUUAUUAUUCUUAUUAUUAAUAUACUAGAACUUAUAAUAUAUUAAUAACCAUAAGUGUCUUAUUUCUCUCAUUAUAGUCUAUCCAAGUGCAUGAUGGUAUGCAACCCAAAUGGACCAUGUCGGGUCGGGUCAAAUCUUACCAAUUAUAGUUAUGGACUUAGACAUUAAUCCAACAGUCUCCCACUUGGAUAAGUCUAAAACUAUUAUUGCGUAUGACUUCAGGAACCAACUGGCAAUCGUAGCUCUCAAAAGCUUCUGUCGAACUCUGACCUUGUCGAUGAACUCUGACCUUUGUCAAUGACUUGUCCAUUAGAUAAGGGAUCAUAUAUUCCUCCAUUCUAGAUAUCAUAUGGACUGAGACAUGGAUUAUAAUCAUUCUCUCUGUCCAUUUGUUGUUUCCCGAUUUCCGAUUUAUGACGACUGACUAAUUGAACAAAUCAAAUCAGUCCUGGCCCGGCCGAGCACUUCCAUUUGUCAUCAUCAAAUCAUCGAGGGGCCCACAGAUAUCGCUUUUAUCCCGAAGGUAAAAGGAAUGGAUAAACUUCGACUCAUAUGGCUUGUUCUACUACUUGUUGAAUCAUACACAAAGGCACGUUUUAUAGCACCGAGUUACCAAAUGCGUUUUCGUGCAAUCAAUGUACUAUCAACUCAUAGUAACAACUCAUAUCUCUAGGUUUGAAGAAUAUAAGAUAUUAUCGUCUCAUGAUCACUCGUGAUAAAAUCCAUGAAGUGAUUCCAAUGAGCGCGGGUUGAAUCCAAUACUCAGAACUUAUGAGCACUCAUGAGUGUUGUAGCCCUUUGUCCAACACCUUAGACCUCUACAAGCCAACCCAUGACAGUCUUAAUUCAUAUCUACUUCCAACAUAUGACCGACUGUGGAUGGUUUGAAUAACUUAGUCAUUCCGGAAGAAUAACCUAGUUUAUUCGGGAAGUCAAAACAUGCAAAGUGAAACACAAUAAUAAUUGAAUCCAAUAUGGUAUCAAAACUUAUGAACAUAAAUAAAACACCUUUUAUUUAUCACCAUAUGAUUACACAUUAUUCAUUGUAUACUGUUUCAGCUAUCAACUUUAUUCUUGAAUUUAAAACAAUAGUUGUCCCAUGCUCCAAGCAUGUACACUAUGUUUUCUUAAACACUAGUCAUGCCACACACCAAGUAUGCAUACUAUGUUUGUCUAUGAUCUUUACUUUGUGAACUAGAUCAAUUGAACAUAACUUCAAUGAUUCUCUUUUCACACUCCCAAAUCCUUACUGCAAAUGCAAGAAUUCCAAAUUCAUGCCAUUUACUGAAAUCUGUUAGAUUCUAAACUUAUAUGCAUUGAUCCUCUUGUAAUGAUUAUGCACAAAGUCACAAGGACUUGAAAACAAACAUUACAAAGUAUUCCAAAUGAGAUUAGCUCCUUGGAAACAUCCUUCUUGCAUUAAGUUCCCUAAUCUUACACAGAUUGAAUAAUUUCUAACUUUGAAAGAUUUCUAGAUUCCAUUUUAAAUAUCACUUCUGAACAAGAGUUUCCUCCUUACAGAUUAUGUCAAUAUGGUCCUUCCAGAAUUAUCACUAUACUUCCAACUGUCCUUGAGCAACCAAUCUUUGGUAAACCUUAGAUUGUCCUCGACAAUUGUUUAAUCCUUUUAGUCAUAUCCAGUUCUAAACCUUUUCCCUUCUUAAUGCCCCAGGCAUUUGGAAAAUUUUAGAACGGAUGAAUAUAGCACAUGUAAUCGAUCCUAUAUCCGAAGCAUAUGGGACACGAUUCAUGAUGUCUCACAUAAAGACUAAACCAGUCUUUUGCUAUAACAUUUCCAUUUCUAUUUGCCAAGUUCUCAUAAUUCAGAUUAUGAAAAGGGAUGCCGUAAUCAUAAUCGAAUUUUAGAACGCAAAUAAUGGACCCAUAUACAGAAUUUCCUUAUGUUGAGCCAUUCCAACAUGAAAUUCAUAUAUAUCCUUGACUAAAUGAUUAAAACCUCACGAUCUAAGCUUAUAGAUUUGAGAUGAAGCAUAAUUUCCUCUCCCUUAAUUAUAGCAAAACAACUUUUUCCCAAUUGAAACUUUUGUUUUCUAUAAUUAACAUUGCUAACUUGCAAUACUUAUCAUAAUUAUCAUGCUCCCACUAACAUGAUGAUUAUUAGCAUAACACUUAUGCUCCCACUAGCUUUGACAUGUACUCAGAAAUCAGCUGGACAGUCUGAAAUUUAGAUUCAUACACCCUUUCCGUAGAUAGCUCACCUGUGUGUCUAAGCAAUUUCAAGAACCAUGAAAAGGGAUACCGUAAUCAUGGUCUCAAUUGCUUAGGCAUUUGCCAUUUCUCACAAGUCCAUGUUAGUGUGCCGGUUAACCACACGCGCUCCACUAACGACUUUUGAAAAUGCAAAUAACACAAUUGAUAUCUUCGUAAAAUCUACUUAGUGAAAGCGUUUCCUCACCAUCAUUUUCAUGAAUCGGAGAGAAACCUUAUGACACUUAGAUUUAUAUGGUGUAUGAGUUCCUACCCAUAUGAAUUUGUCAAACCAUAAUCACAAGACAAAGAUAAUGACAAAUCCAAAACCAUAUGGAUUGAACUCAAUCUUAACUUCUUGCCACCUGGCAGCUCAAGGGCCUGCCAUUGCUUCCAAGUUGUUAUGCAACAAACUGAGAACUCUAAGAACUCAUAUGCAAAGCCAACUUUAACUGGAAUGGGCACAGAUAUGUCAACACGAUAGGUUAUAAACCUCAAGUCGUGUGCUAGUGAAGAACUUCAGGUUUUAUUCUUGAUUAUUUCUUGAGACUUUCAAGACCUUUAAGACUCCCACUGUCCUCUUGACAUAUAAGACUCCCUUGUCAAACAUCCAAGAGAUAGUGCGGAUUCUAAUCAAGAAAAACACUUUACCCAAUUGGCCUAAGUUGGUCUUUGUUUUAUCCAAAACAUCACAACUUACCAAUUUCAAAUGUACAAGAGUAGAAAACUUUUACUCUUACAUUUGACAAGUGUUUUAAACCUUCUUUAAGACAUGUCACUCAAAUGACAAUCUUGGAGUAUGACUCUAAGACUUGUAUUGGAACGAAGUAUGACUCAUCUUCUUGAUUUAACCAUUUCAACAAUUCAAGUUCCUCUUCUUAGUCAUAAGAAUGCACUAAGAUUUCCUUAGAGAACUAAUUUUGAUAUGGUUUCUUAAUCAUUAAGAUGAUCACAAAACUGAUACUAAAGUACUCUCCCAUCUUUUCAGAUUUGAGAAACUUUUAUCCUUCUGCCUUAUUUGAUUCUUCUUAUCGAUCUUUAGUGGUGGACUUAAUCAGUGCACAAGAAUGUGUACUCGAUCCCUUAGUCCUUUACUUGACUCACACAUCCAUGUGAACAAGUAAUUAGUCUUAAUUUUCCAAAACUUGAAAGUUCUCAUUCAUCAUGCUAUACAACUUGCAUGAUUCCAAGUUCCGGUCCAAUUGAAACUUGGGUGAUGAGAAUCUUUCCUUAUUUGGUAAAUCUAGACAUUACCACAAAUGAAAGAAUCAAUUUCAUAUUUCCACUCUUGCUCUUAAUGGAAUCAUAUAAGCAACAAUUUUUCCUCAAAAGCCAUUGUAAGGAUAUUUUAAAAUAAAUAAAAUCAAAAAAAUUUUCUUUUAUUUUAAAACUUUGCGGAAAAACUUAUCCUUACAAUCCAUAUGAAAACUUGUUGUUAUCUAUUCCUAAGCAAUAUCUCAUAACUCCUAAGAAGUUGCUCAAGAAUCCGAUCUUCAAACUAUGCGAUAGAAAUCCAUCUACGCCAUCAGAUUCAGCAUAUUCUUUCUUUAAGUUUCUUCACUUUUCUUUGAUUCUUAAAACAUCACCAUGUGACCCAGUCACAUCAUGUAUCAAGAAUCUCAGAAUAGAAACUUAACAGAGUUAGAUAGUGGUCUUUACCUGAAGUAGAGUCAAACUUAUUGACUUUAACAUCCUUAGGUAAAUUUGGCAGCUUCGCAACCAAUGCCCCUUCCCUUGGCAAUAUAAACAUAUGGACCCUUUGAUAAUGGUACACGAGACUAUCACAGACUUAGCUUUUCUCUUUACCAUUUGGUCAACCGAGUUGACUAUGGCCGAUCCCUUUCCAUUGGGAAGAGAAUGCUUUACUGGAUAUCCAAUGUCAUCAUUGUCAAUGUCCAUAAAGUUUUAGGAAGUUGAUCUUAGCAAAUAGAUAAGAUCAUUAAGGGUCUUGUCAUAGUCUGUUUCAUAGGUGUCCCAAAGGAACUCACUAUGUGACUUAGAAAGUGAUUGAACCACCAACUUUCUCAAGACUUUAACACCCAACUCUCCUGGCUUGUCAAUAUGAGACUACAUCUCCAAGAUGUGAUCACACCUAGACCUUUCCUUGCCAAUAGGGCUUGAGUGACCUUAAACUUUUCAAGAACUUGUGGGUUAGGGAGAAUAAUUAGAGGAGGUGGAAGAAGUAUGAUUUCCAUGGGACAUCAUCUUCAUUUAGGAAAGCUUGUUUCAAGAGAUUUGGGAAGAUCAUAAAUGUCUAAACCAGACAUCUUUUGGGAGAUAUUCAAGAUAGUUGAUNNNNNNNNNNNNNNNNNNNNNNNNNNNNNNNNNNNNNNNNNNNNNNNNNNNNNNNNNNNNNNNNNNNNNNNNNNNNNNNNNNNNNNNNNNNNNNNNNNNNNNNNNNNNNNNNNNNNNNNNNNNNNNNNNNNNNNNNNNNNNNNNNNNNNNNNNNNNNNNNNNNNNNNNNNNNNNNNNNNNNNNNNNNNNNNNNNNNNNNNNNNNNNNNNNNNNNNNNNNNNNNNNNNNNNNNNNNNNNNNNNNNNNNNNNNNNNNNNNNNNNNNNNNNNNNNNNNNNNNNNNNNNNNNNNNNNNNNNNNNNNNNNNNNNNNNNNNNNNNNNNNNNNNNNNNNNNNNNNNNNNNNNNNNNNNNNNNNNNNNNNNNNNNNNNNNNNNNNNNNNNNNNNNNNNNNNNNNNNNNNNNNNNNNNNNNNNNNNNNNNNNNNNNNNNNNNNNNNNNNNNNNNNNNNNNNNNNNNNNNNNNNNNNNNNNNNNNNNNNNNNNNNNNNNNNNNNNNNNNNNNNNNNNNNNNNNNNNNNNNNNNNNNNNNNNNNNNNNNNNNNNNNNNNNNNNNNNNNNNNNNNNNNNNNNNNNNNNNNNNNNNNNNNNNNNNNNNNNNNNNNNNNNNNNNNNNNNNNNNNNNNNNNNNNNNNNNNNNNNNNNNNNNNNNNNNNNNNNNNNNNNNNNNNNNNNNNNNNNNNNNNNNNNNNNNNNNNNNNNNNNNNNNNNNNNNNNNNNNNNNNNNNNNNNNNNNNNNNNNNNNNNNNNNNNNNNNNNNNNNNNNNNNNNNNNNNNNNNNNNNNNNNNNNNNNNNNNNNNNNNNNNNNNNNNNNNNNNNNNNNNNNNNNNNNNNNNNNNNNNNNNNNNNNNNNNNNNNNNNNNNNNNNNNNNNNNNNNNNNNNNNNNNNNNNNNNNNNNNNNNNNNNNNNNNNNNNNNNNNNNNNNGCAUCCAACUCGCCGAGUUGGUUCGUGCACUCGACGAGUUGGACCCCCAGACAGCAUAAAUUCGACUUUUUUGGCUGGAAUUGGACUAGGAACAUUACCCUAAGAUGUUUUUGAACUUAUAAACUUGUUUUUGAUGUGGUAAUGUUCAUGCUAAUCCAAUUUCAAAGAUAAUUGUCAAUAGAUUCAUGUUUUGUAUUAGUUUAAGGUUUAGACUAAUUACAUGAAAAAGUUUGAUUUGAAUUAUCUUGUUCUUAUGAGUUGCUUAGAUUAAUAGAAAAGUUGAGUGAAAUAGUUGUUUUCAAUCCAAAUUAAUCUAAGAGUUGAUUCUAAAAUGUGUUUUUGUAACUUGUCCUCAAGUUAUAUGAAAAGUCACAUUUAAGUUUCAUAAAACUCAUAAAAGUUGGCAAAGGUUACAAAAAAUGAAGAGUCUAGUUCUAAUUAAAUGGUUUUAUGACUCCAUAACUUGUCCUUAAGUUAUGGAGGACCAAGAGUCUCUUCUUUAAAUAAUAAUGAAAAAAAAGAGUGUAACCUUAAUUAAUUCCAUAAGUUAUAAAAUAAAGAAAAGUUAAUUCUUUUAUUAGUUUAAAGUCUUCCAUAACUUGUCCUCAAGUUAUGGAACUUGAAGAGUUUUUGGAUUAAAACUACUUUAAACACAUAAGUUAUGGAAUUAAUUAGUUUUGAAUAGUUUCAAAACUUGCCCUCAAGUUUUGGAAUUUGUAAAGUUUUCUCUAAUGAAUACUUUAAUUCCAAGUUAGCCCUUAGAAUUUUAAAAGUUAAAAUUCAACCCUUAUACCUUAAUUAAUUCCAAGUUAGCCCUUAUACUUUAAUUCCAUGUCUCAGUCCAUAUAUAAAUAUUAUUAACUUAUAAUAUUAUAAAGUAUAUGGGUUGAAUUUUAACUUUUAAAAUUCUAAGGGAUAACUUGGAAUUAAAGUAUUCAUAAGUGAAAAAAUUUUCAAAUUCCAAAACUUGAGGGCAAGUUUUGAAACUAUUCAAAACUAAUUAAUUCCAUAACUUAUGUGUUUAAAGUAGUUUUAAUCCAAAAACUCUUCAAGUUCCAUAACUUGAGGACAAGUUAUGGAAGACUUUAAACUAAUAAAAGAAUUAACUUUUCUUUAUUUUAUAACUUAUGGAAUUAAUUAAGGUUACCUUUUUUUUUUAUUUAUUAUUUAAUGAAGAGACUCUUGGUCCUCCAUAACUUGAGGACAAGUUAUGGAGUCAUAAAACCAUUUAAUUAGAACUAGACUCUUCAUUUUGUAACCUUUGCCAACUUUUAUGAGUUUUAUGAAACUUAAAUGUGACUUUUCAUAUAACUUGAGGACAAGUUACAAAAACACAUUUUAGAAUCAACUCUUAGAUUAAUUUGGAUUGAAAACAACUAUUUCACUCAACUUUUCUAUUAAUCUAAGCAACUCAUAAGAACAAGAUAAUUCAAAUCAAACUUUUUCAUGUAAUUAGUCUAAACCUUAAACUAAUACAAAACAUGAAUCUAUUGACAAUUAUCUUUGAAAUUGGAUUAGCAUGAACAUUACCACAUCAAAAACAAGUUUAUAAGUUCAAAAACAUCUUAGGGUAAUGUUCCUAGUCCAAUUCCAGCCAAAAAAGUCGAAAAUAUGCUGUCUGGGGGUCCAACUCGUCGAGUGCAUGAACCAACUCGGCGAGUUGGAUGCAUUUUGCCUUGGACUCGGCGAGUCCAUUCAUGGACUCGGCGAGUCUGCUGGGCAGACAGCAUCAAAACUCGAUUUUUCAGCUUCUUUUGCAAGUAUAACAAGAAAACAAGCCUAGGCUCUGAUACCACUGUUGGGUUUUGAGCAUUCUAACACUCCUAAGUGUACAUGCAACCCUAAAUACCUUGGAUCUAUGUUUUCUCUAUUAUACAUACAAAUAUGAACAUCCAAGGUAUUAUCCUAAUCUAGCAUACAAAAUAAUGAAUAUAACAAGAUAGAAUACAUACCUCUUUCAUGUAGAAAGUCUUCAUGAAGCUUGAGUGCCAAGUGCCUCAAGUGUGACACCUCAAAUGGUUCACACAACACCAAAUAUACUUGGAAUAACUUUAGAGAAUUAUACACUUCAUGGAAAUCGGCUAGCCCUUCUAUUGCACUCUAGUGGCCGAUUUUGGUGAAUAAUAUGAAGCUUAUAUACUUAGGGUUACACCAUGUAAACCCUAAUUGACAUGGCCUUUCAUUUCCAUGAUCCAUGGGUACAAAAACACCAUGGAGCAUCCAUGAAGCAUCAUAUGGGUUUUAGCCCAACUAGAUAAUCCAUGGAGCAUUAGCCCACUAUAUAAGUAUGGAUGAUUUACACAAUCAACCCAUAUAUUUAAUUAGUCUUCUUUUGAUCACUUAAUUAAUCCUAGAUUAAUUCUUGAUCAAUACUAAUUAAAUAAUCUUAUUAUUCUUAUUAUUAAUAUACUAGAACUUAUAAUAUAUUAAUAACCAUAAGUGUCUUAUUUCUCUCAUUUNCUUACCAAUUAUAGUUAUGGACUUAGACAUUAAUCCAACAUUACAUGCAAGACAUUCUUAAGUUGGAGCAUAAUACAGAAAAUCUAGUUCAAUAACAACCGACUUGUCUUUACUAUUGGGAACUUACCAUCUGAUCAUUUUUACAAACUUAUGACAGAACUAUGCCACCAAGGAAAAGACCCAGACCUUCCGGCAGCACAGCACCACCACCUCCAACGCCACCUCCACAGUUUGAUCCCGCAAUGUUCCAAGCUACAGUAACAGCAGCCGUGGCAGCUGCAAUGUCACAAAUUGGUACAAAUGGUACCGGUAGUGCUGGAUCUAGAGCCACAAACUCUAACCACGGGGACAGUACAGGACAUACGAGGGAAUGUUCAUACAAGGACUUUACUAGUGCCAAACCCGAUUCUUUCAAUGGAAGUGAGGGCGUCAUCACCUUGAUGCAAUGGUUCAAAAAUACCGAAAAGGUCUUUGAAAUUUGUGCAUGCCCCGAAGCAAGCAAGGUCAAAUUUACAGCAUACACUUUCUCUGGUCGGGCCCUCACUUGGUGGAAAAGUCACAUUAACUCACUAACGCUUGCAGUGGCUAACUCGUUAAGUUGGGAGGACUUAAAGAAGAUGAUGCUAAAAGAAUAUUGCUCAAGAGGCGAAGUGCAAAAGCUGGAGCAAGAACUGUGGGAUCUCAAAAUGACAGGCUCCGACCUUACAACUUACACCACCUGAUUCUGUGAUCUAGCACUCCUUUGUCCCGCGAUGGUCACCCCGAAAGACAAAAAGUUGGAGCGAUACCUCUGGGGAUUGUCCCCUGAAAUUCAAGAUAGCGUGUUGGCCUCAAGACCAACUACCUUCGACAGUGCCAAGGAGUUGGCACAACAACUCAUUGACCAUCGUGCCAGCCAUGACACUACGACAACCACCCUUAACCAAGCAAGAGGAGGGAACAACAAAAGAAAGUUUUGGGACAACAAGAAGGACCAACCAGCCUAGGACUUCGCUAAGAAGCAACAGAUUGUUAUUGUUCAUGCUGCCACAACCCUCACCACGCCAACUCCCAUAAAACAAUACGUUGGAACCCUUCCGAAAUGCAACAAGUGUAACUUCCAUCACACUGGGGCUUGCCGGAAGAUGCAUUGCAAAAAUUGCGACAGAGAGGGGCACACUGUCCGUUUCUGUAAGGCACCAGCACGACCCAUCAACCAGGUCCCUGGCUUUGGAGUAAGCCCAGCCUGUUACAAGUGCGGAGAAACGGGACACUUUAAAAGGGACUGCCCAAGAGCAAGAGAUGCCAGUGAUGGUGGAAGGGUGCUUGCGAUCACCGCAGCAGAGACCACCCUGGAACUGCUCAUAAAUAUCAGUACGUUUUACUAACAUCGACGUUUAAAUUCUAAAUUUCUUUUAAUUCCUAAAUCUAGCAUCGAUUAAAGUAUAUCGACCAUUAAUCUCGAGAACACGGCAAAACUCAAAUAAGUCUUAUCACCUAUAUAAAAACACAGGGUUUUUACUAGUGAGUCUAUGAUGGCUAGUGUAAACAUUAUGGACAUAUAUCAUUAAGAUUCUAUGGACUUAGAAUGCGUGAUUCCGCCUCAUUCCCUGUUCCUUGUUUGGUUGUGGGNCAUUCCCUGUCCUUGUUUGGUUGUGGGCUUAAGGCGGGGUCACCCAUCCGAAUGCCCUUGCAAUCUUAAUGAUAUGCGACUAGUUUACACCAAGCGGUUAUAAAGGAACUGGUAGGAUUUACAAUACAAAUUUCAUCACAAUUUGUGAAACAUUCGUAAUGAUGGAACUCGCAAACUACGUUAUAAAGUAUUCAUAGUGGUAAUGCCAAGGAUUAAACAGGGAGCAUAGACAAUAAGAAAUUCCAAGGUCGUCAUGUGACAUCAGGCAGGUUGUUCCUCACCAUAAUCAAUUUUUUGUACUAUGAAAAGUUUCCCCCAUCUUUCCUCCAAAUUCUUUAAUCCCCAAUCAAAGUGCUAAUUUCAGGACAAAAUUCCCUCUAAUGGGGGGAUGAUGUGACUGAUGGGUUUUGAGCAUUCUAACACUUCCAAAGUGUACAUGCANNNNNNNNNNNNNNNNNNNNNNNNNNNNNNNNNNNNNNNNNNNNNNNNNNNNNNNNNNNNNNNNNNNNNNNNNNNNNNNNNNNNNNNNNNNNNNNNNNNNCUCUUUCCUAACUUCUCUCAUUUUCUCUCAUUCUUCCAUCAAGAAGGGUGGGUGAAGUACAAGAAAUGGAGUGUUGACUUUUCUUAAGUUUAUGACACAAGCAACCACCAUACCCACUCUAUGACCAUCCACACCUCCCCACCUUACCUAGGUCAUUUCAAUGUCCUUUCCACUCAUUUACCAGCCCUCUACACGUCCUUAGGGCUUGAACAUCCAUCCUCUCUCCUAACUUCUCUCAUUCUUCCAUCAAGAUCAAACUUCAUUUUCUCUCAUUUUCUCUCUCUAAAAUUCGAGAUUCAAGGCCAUUCUCCGGACUUUUCUUCUACUUUUCGUAAGUAUUAACAUCCUCCAUACGAUUGUUAACCCCACUCUACUCCAAUCAUAGAUUGCUUACACAAAUUCCAUCAUUUUGGUGUUAGAUUCUCAAAAAUCUUCAAGGCAUCUUCAAGUGUUCUUGAGUUGAACACUUCUUUUCUCCAUCAUCCAUCUACUGAAAUCACAUAAGGUGAGUUCAUACCCCUAUAAUUUCAUGUUUUCUUAAGUUUUAAGGGGGGGAAUACAAGUUAAAACACCAANGGGGGGGGGGUAAUACAAGUUAAAACACCAAGAACGCAACUAAACUCAUUUAACAGCCUUCAUCAGAAAAGUUCAACUCCAUUCACAAACUGUUUUGGGGAAACUUAAACAUUUUAGUUUUCAAAAAUGUUUUAGGUGCAAGUAGUUCCAGUUCUUAGCUUUCAAAUGACUACUUGCACAUCUCCACACAGUUUUUCUACAAUUUUUGGUGAUUUUUGCAAAACAGCCUAUCAUUUCAAGAACAAAUCUAGACCAGUCUGUUAAUAUGAACAUUUUAACACAAGUUAAAGACUUCCAAAAAUCAUGAUAAAAAUUAUGAAUAAAUUAGAGACAUUUUAGGAACUCUCAGAAUUUACGGAUUCAGUUUUCGACUUUGUAUGAUUUUUCUAUGAUCUUUCUAAAACAGUGCAGAAAAGUUAAAAACUAGUUAACAGCUUAUAAUUUUCAACACACUUUGUAACAUGUUGAGAAAAGUGUUAAAUCUUUGAUGACUUCAUAUUUUACAUGUGUUUCUUGUUGUUGUAUAAUUAUAUAACAGAAAAUACUCACUGAAUUGUAAGAAUCCUCCAUCAUUACCAUUAGUACAAAACAAAGCAAGAUAAACAUAGUUAUAUUUUGCUAUACAUUCGAAUUACAUAGGAAAGGGUUCUUAUACACCAUAAACAUACUAAACAAUAACAGGUAUAGUUAGGUUGCUUAUACAUUUCAAACAUCUUGAUUAACUAUAAUAGGUAUAGUUUAUGUUCAUUUACUUUACAAAGGUUUUCAUACGAAAAAGGGUACAAAUACAAAGUACCGGUUUUAUACGAAAAGAGGUACAAAUACAAAGUACCGGUUUUAUACAAAAAGGGGUACAAAUACAAAGUACCAGGUUGUAUACGAACAGGUGUAACGUCCCAAAAAUACGAGCCAAAAAAAUUCAUUUUUAGAACAUAUACUUAACAAACAUUAGAAUUAAAAUGUUCACCAAAUAAUAUCAUUUCAUAAAAGUUAUCGCAUGUCUUUGAAAAGCAUUUUUAUAAAACAUGAUAAUGUCAGAGUACAAAUUCCCACGAGGGUCUCAUAGUGUGGAAUACGAGGCAUGUGUGUGAUGGGCCGCUACCAUGCCAGCUCCUUCCCUUUCGAAGAAGAGGUACCUGAAAUCAAAACUGAAAACUGUAAGCACGAAGCUUAGUGAGUUCCCCCAUAAUACCCCAUACCAUACAAUCAUAUAAUUUAACAGCUAGGAGAUAUGGGCCUCGCCCACACUCAAGGAGAUACGGGCCUCGGCCAUACUCCGCUAUCUAGGAGAUACGGGUCUCGCCCACACUCCGCUAUCUAAGAGAUACGGGCCUCGCCCACACUUCGCUAUCUAUGAGAUACAGGCCUCGCCCACACUCUACGAUCUAAGAGAUACGGGCCUCGCCCACACUCCAUUAUCUAAACCAUAACAUACAAGUAUCACACAGACAACAAGUAUAAAGAAUUCUACCAAGCCAGCAUAUAGCAUCAUCAGACUCAACUAAGAGAUACGGGCUCUGCCCACACUCCGAUACUAUCAUAUCGUCUAUACGGUCCGGCCUUGGUGCCUUAGACCCGUUCCUACUGGAAGGAAACUCACCUCGAAAGGUAGGUACUGGUCUGCGUGGGAUCCGACUGACUUCUGCUGCUGCUACUAACCGACCUCAGGGUAAAAUGACCAUUUACCCCUAACCAAACCAAGAGUCAAGGUCAAAGUCAACUGUCAAUUGACCCGACUCGUCGAGUUGGCUUGCGGACUCUCCGAGUCCCUAUCCCUUUGUCUGACCAUAAACCCGUCUCUACUCGUCGAGUUAGGCAUUGACUCGACGAGUUUUCCUUCUAAACCAAAGUCCAAUAGUCCUUCAUCCUACUCGCCGAGUUGUAUGAACAACUCGUCGAGUUCAUCUUCAUCCGAAGAACACUCUAUGUUGAGACUCGUCGAGUUGUAUGAACAACUCGCCGAGUCUGUUCUUGAGGAAAGAAGAUUGCCUUGAACUNAUUGACUCGCCGAGUUACUUCAUGAGUGAGUCCGACUUCCAACCCACUGAGUCACACCCUAUGACUCACUACCCCAACCCGCAAACACGAAAAGGGGGAAAACUCGGGGACUCGCGACUCGACUCGCCGAGUCUGCCACAUGCAAAUACUAUAUACUCGAUUUUGCUUGAAUCCAGCUCAUGUCAUUCAUAGAUCUGGGUCUCUAGGGCUCGAUUAACACGUAAAGUUUCCAACUUUACAUGUGAAUAAACACCAAUGAAGGUUUUAGGGCUCAAAAUGCACUAAAAGAGUAGAUCUAGGGAUUUCAUGCAAUAUGGCUCCAUAAAGGCAGUAGAUCCAAGCUCCUGGAGCUCAAUCAUGCCUAGAUCUAGAGGCUAAACAACUUGUUACAAACCAUACUACACAAACAAGCUUGGGGAAAGGCUCAAGAAGGACUUUCAUGGAGCUAUAAGGGACUAUAAGCAUGAAAACGGGGGGAAACUGAGUUAUACCUCAAGGAAAUCACUAAGAUAACACAAGGAUGCCUGGACUCCUUCUCUUCUUGAUCUACUCUCCUUCCCUCACAAAAUCUUCAAGAAAACACACCAAAAUGCUUCAAUCUCACAAGAAACAAGGCUUGGACGAAGUAGAGAGCUCUGAGGGUAAAGGGGGCGAGCUUGGGGGUGGAUAAGAGGGUUUAAAUAGGGUGCAAACCCUUGAACUUUAGGGUUUCAUCAGACAGCGGGGACUCGCCGAGUCCAGAAUGUGGACNAUACGAAAAGGGGUACAAAUACAAAGUACCGGUUUUAUACAAAAAGGGGUACAAAUACAAAGUACCAGGUUUUCAUACGAAAAGGGGUACAAAUACAAAGUACCGGUUUUAUACAAAAAGGGGUACAAAUACAAAGUACCAGGUUUUUAUACAAAAACGGGUACGGAUACAAAGUACCAGGUUCACAUAAAAUAGUUAUUAUGAUAUUAAAACUAUACUUCAUCUAGAAUUGUUAGACUUCAGCUAUAAUUGCUAAGUGUAUAUGCUAGAGUUAUAUAAGAAUCUAGUCACAAUCGACUUAGAAUUGGUGGGGCCGCCAUAUCUCCUGUUCCUUGUUUGGUUGUGGACCUGGGGCGGACCCAUUAUAUUCAAUGGUUUAUUUAACUAAAUUUUUUAUAUAAUUUAUAUACGCUGAGUGAUUGUAGAAGGAAUCUAUGGGUCUUUCUAGGAUUCAUUAUCGCAUAACAUAGAAGCAUUCAUUUCAUACAUAAUAAGGAAAAUAUUGGAUUUUCUGGAAACAUACUUUGUUGCUUUUACAAGGAAAAAGGUUUCAUUCUAAAACAAAACUCUUAUGAACACACCAACUUAAUUGUUGACACUUUUUCAAAACUACUUGUAUUCUCAGGAAAUCAGUGAAACAGAAAAUCAACAGCAUUUUGAGGAUGGGACGAUAAAUCGUCAAACAUUUCAUUUUGUCAUCAUAAUGUAAUUGAUUUUGAAACAUGUAAACUUGCUAUGAUGUAACUUUCUCAAUUAUAUCUAUGAUGGUUGUAUUUACUUUGAGCACUAUUAUACUCGUUGUUGUGAUACUAUACAUGAAGUCCUCCACCCCCGAACGUUUCCGCCAUCCUUGGUUUGGGGGUGUGACAGAUUGGUAUCAGAGCAUUUUUUAUAGUGAACUAAGUAUAUCGAACCACAUAAUAUAUACAAACUAUAAAUGCAUUGGGACUAAGGUCUCUGAUUUAAAGUUUUCAAAACAACUAUAAUUUUAGAAAUAAAUAGUUUCUUGUUAAAAGUAUACAUGCAUGCAUACAUACUAAGGUCAACAUCAUUCUAGAACAAAACAAAAGUAAUGAUUGUUGAAUAUCACAGGUAACCUCGGAGAUGUAUGGUCAGUCUUGGGAGUCGCAUAGCCUGAUCAACUAUGCUGGUCCGAGGAGUGAUUAGCACAUGCCCAAGAAUGGUUGUCAUAUGGCGACAAGUCUAAAAACUUACCAACACUACCACAAUGAGAACAUUAGAACAGAACAUGAGUUUAAAAUACUAUGGGAGUAUUUUGUGUUACUAUAAGUGCUUACAUGAGAACUAAACAAGGCUCUAUCAAGUAGGUCAAUAGUUUUUAAGUAGAUACGCUAAGGUUAUAUGAAAUUUAGGCAUUAUAGACUCAGAAUAUGUGACCGUUGCUUUACUUCCUGUUCUCGUUGGAUUGUGGAUUUGGAGUUAGAGUCACCUAUUCGAAGGACUAUCCUGCCUUGAUUUGUGAUAACCCGAAAUUUCCAUUCUGAACAAACCAUAUCAAGCCAAUAGAAGUUAGAACAGUUACAGUGAAAUUCCAGACUUUGAGUAAAAGUUUUUGUUUUUCAGGAUUUACACUUAAGGAGAUAUCAGGAGAGUGGAUGCACUAGGGUUUUGUGCAACACUGUUAUUCCAAAACUCUAGGAUAUUAGGGUUCAAUUUAGGAAUAAAAAUAUUUUCUGCCAAAAAUCCCAGGACUAUAUAUAGAAAUCUGAGCCAUAUUCAUUCAUUAGUUACAUUUCCAACUAGAGAAAAGUCAAAUUCUCUCUCACGGAUCUUCGGGUUUUUAUCCCAAAUUGUGAGUACUUCUAUCUAGUUGUAUUAUAUAGCUUAGAUUGUGUUUAAUAACAUCAAAAUCAUGUCAAAACACUAAGAUCAGUGAGUUUACUGCCCAAGAACACCUUGGGGGUAAACUCCUUUUUAAGGGACAAUUGAGUGCCCAAUGUCCCUCAAAGCCUUGGAACUCAACCUAGGAUCUACCAUUACAUGUUUUAGACCACAAAACAAUUAAGAAUCAAGGCUAGAAGUGAGUUCACAGCCAAGGAAGUUCUUGGGCCGUGAACUCCAUUUUUAGGUGCCAAAACACCCUAAAAACCUUCCUUAAGCCAAGAGACUAAUUUAGACAAGUACCCUAAUGUGUUUAGGGCUAGCAAACACCUUUAGAACACCAAGAAAAAGGUGUUCAUGGCCCAAGAAGUUCCAGGGCCGUGAACUCCAAGAAAUAGUGCCAAAUGGUGCUAUAAACUCUCCUAAAGCCAUGGACAAUUCCCUUGCUUCAUUCUUAGAUAAAUUAGGGACUUGAAAAUACCACAAACACCCUCCCAAGGGAGAUUACGGCUGUAAUCUCCAUGGGAUAUGGUCCAUGGGCCGUGAACUCCUCAAAGGAGUUAAAAGGAAGCCCAAACACUUGUUUAAGCCUUGAAUCACUUCACCACUUAAGUUGUUAUAAUGUUAGGCUUCAUUUAGAGACCCUAUAUAGAGUUUACAGUCAGGAGUUUACUCCCCUAGGCCGUAAACUCCAACACAUAUGGUCUUUUGACCAUAAACUCCCAUAAGAUAUCUUGCACUCCUUUGUUGCAACCCAUUAGCCUCCUAGCACUUGACCAAAAGUUUUUUCCUCGAAUUAGGAUGUUUUUACAUGUUUAAUUAAUGUUAUAAUCACUAAUUGUUUAUAUAGAUAUGUCUUCAUAUGUAAUUAGUACCAUUGUGUGUGUCUGAAGUCUUCACUUGACACCUAGUAGUCCUACCUCUUUAGUUCAUCUGUAUCACCCACAAUAGGUAAGUUCAUACCCCCUAAUCAACGUUUUAACUGUUUUUAAAUAUUUUAUGGGGGGAUACAAGUAGAAUUAUGCUAAUUAUUAUAUCAAUCACAUGUGAUUAAUAAGCAACAUUCAAAUGAUUGGCUACUCAUUAGCCGUUUUACCAAACAGUUUCCUUCAAAUGUUUUUCAUAAACACUUUAUGUGUUUAAAACUCCUUAUUACACUGUACCUUUUACUCUGUAUGUUUCAUUUUAAACUUAUUUACAAUUGUGUUUCAAACAAAUGUUUCUUUAUACUAAACUGUUUUAUCAAACCCAUGCCUUCAAACCAUUUUAUAGAUUGACAUCAAGUCGAUCUUUUCUUAGAUAAUAAUUAUGUUCAAAGGUUUUACAAAACUUAUUUUAUGCUUUUAUAUUAUAAAUUGCAUGCCUAUAUAUCUAUGGUUAUAUAAGAAAUGUUGAAAGGACUUAGGAAGGCUAUCCACCCUAUUUCCUUUUCCUCGAUUUGGAUGUGGUCUGGUGGGAUAUCGGGUACCCGUCCGAAGGUCGUUUAAAUAUUAGUUAUAUAUCAUGUGUACAUAUAUAGUCAUAAAGGUCCUUCCAGUUCAGCCAAUGCCCUUGGGUAGCAAGGGUAUACAUCCAUGUUCAUACGUACCAGUUAAAUUACUAGUAAGCUACCAUAUUGGUAGUUUAGGAAGAUACUAGAACUAUUACUAGAACGCGAUAUCAUACAAUGAGUCAGUUCAUUCAUGAGUCAAUACUUUCUAGAACAUUACAGUACAUUACUAUACUUGCUAGAUAGAGAGAGCAUACAUUACAGCUAGAACAUUACAGUACAUUACUAUACUUGCUAGAUAGAGAGAGAACACACAUUACAGCUAGCACACGUAGAACAUUUCAGUACAUUACAUAUACAUGAAUACGUUGACAAAAUUGUGAUCCACUGUAUCGGAGCAUGCCUUAAAUGUCAUGGCCCGAGUUGUAGCCAGAGUCUCUUGGAGGGAGAGCGUGAGUUUGCGUAUAGAUCUAUACUGGAUUGACUAUCCUACACCUUGCUGCUAGCUACAGCCGGACCUGCAGGUCUGCGGGUGCCAAACGUCAUUUCUUUUUACGACCAUACUUUUGUCGUUGUUACCAGUCGAUAGUAUGGUACAAUUAAUCACAUGAUACCUUAAUAUAAAUCCGGUUUAAGGUAGUUAGUACAGCAGUAGUUCCUAUAAUACAACACUACAGUACUACAUUAAUUUCCCCUUUACAUAUAUUUAGUGAUCAUUUCACUUAAACAUUAAAUGUAAAAACUAUAUUUUGUUAAUGAUAGUUACACUUGGGAAAAUUACACACUUUUACAAGAAACGAACAUUUAGAACAGUUAAGUCUUGGUAGAAGACUACAUUGAGAACAGUUAGGUCUUGGUAGAAGACACCCUUAUAUAAUAGUAGGAAUCAUAGGGAUUUCUAGGGUUUUUCAAACGUUUACAGUUGUUUUACAAACAUUUUCAUACUUACAGUUCAUAUACAUUUUCAAUACUUACAGUUCAUAUACAUACAAAUUCUUACAUACAAAUUAAGACACUAAAAUACUUAUGAUCUCACCAGCUUCAAAGCUGAUACUCGCUUUCAAAAUUACUUGUAUCCUCAGGUCAUCAAUAGACAGGUACCGAUGCAAGGUUUAGGGAAGAUGGAGCUCGUUCAAGACUCAUCUUUCAUUUUGAUUUAUGCUUUAGUGUUUAUCAAAAUUUGACAGAACACACUUGUAUAAUAAUUAUAUUAUUAAUGCAAUGGAUGAUGUUGUUGCUUGUUUACUACUUUUCAUUGUUGUGAUACUGUACAUGACGUCCUCCGCCCCAGAACGUUUCCGCCGUUCUUGGUUUUGGGGUGUGACAGAUUGGUAUCAGAGCAUUGUUUAUAGUGAAUUAAGUAUAUCAACCCAUAAAAGAUAUACUAACUAUAAAUACAAAAGGGAUUAAAAAUACUCUGACCAAGAGUUUAUACUUUAAAUAAUAAAAUAUUUAAUUAAGUAUACGUGCCUGCAUUCAUACUAAAAUCAGUGUCACUAGGACAGUACAAAAGAAUUACGAUUGUUGGGCAACACAGGUGGGCUUAGAGACAUAUGGUCAAAACUGGGAAGAUAUAGCCUGAUCACCUAUAUUAUCCGAGGGUUGACUAGCAUGUGCCUAAGUUUAAUUGUGUGGUUGCAACAAGUCUAAAAUCUUACCAACCCUACCACAAUGAGAACAGUAGAACAUAACAUUAAACUUAAAAUACUAUAGGAGUAUUUGGUGUUACUAUAAGUACGUUAUACUUGAGAACUAAAACGGGAUCUUCAUUACUAAGUUGAUAGUUGCUAAGUGGAUACACUAAGGCUAUAUGUAACUAGGAUGUUAUAGACUUAGAAUCUGUGAAAAUUUUGCUUUACCCCUAUUCCUUGUGAAUUUGGAGUUAAGGUCACUUAUUCGAAGGCCUAUCCUAUGUAGAUUACAUAUAACUUGUAUGCACUUCACAAAUAGCGAUGUAAGUAGGAAAACUCCGCCAAGGGUAAGUACGUGUCCCAACUCCCGCCGAAGUCCAACACACAUGCCCGGAGCAUAUCCUCGAGCGUCUGAAUCGUCCACUCGCUCUUUCCGUCAGUCUGGGGGUGGUAUGCAGUACUGAAAUGCAGUCUAGUACCCAAUUCCUCAUGGAAUUUCUUCCAGAAUCUAGAGGUGAAACGCACAUAUCGGUCUGAGACAAUCGAGAUCGGCACUCCAUGCCGUGAUACCACUUCCCUCACAUACAUCUCUGCCAACCUCUCUGCAGAAGAGCUCUCGCUAAUAGCGAGGAAAUGAGUGCUCUUCGUCAACCGGUCUAUAAUCACCCAAAUUGCAUCAACGCCCCUCGCGGUCCUCGGCAAUUUGGUGAUAAAGUCCAUGGCAAUCUGUUCCCACUUCCACUCGGGAAUCUCUAACGGCUGCAACUUGUCGUGCGGUCUCUGGUGCUCGGCCUUAACCCUGCGACAGGUUAGGCACCUCUCCACGAACCAUGCAACGUCCCUUUUCAUACAGGGCCACCAAUACUCCCUUUUCAGGUCCAAAUACAUCUUAGUGGCCCCGGGAUGGAUCGAGAAC
rnacentral:lncRNA from 1 species